rnacentral:rRNA from 1 species
CUCGCCCGGGGACUACGAGCAUAAGCUUAAAACCCAAAGGACUUGGCGGUGCUUUAGAUCCACCUAGAGGAGCCUGUUCUAGAACCGAUAACCCCCGUUCAACCUCACCUUUUCUUGUUUACCCCGCCUAUAUACCGCCGUCGUCAGCUUACCCUGUGAAGAGCACAUAGUAAGCAAAAUUGGCAAAGCCCAAAACGUCAGGUCGAGGUGUAGCGUAUGGAAAGGGAAGAAAUGGGCUACAUUCACUGAACCAGUACACACGGACGAUGCUUUGAAACCAAGCAUCUGAAGGAGGAUUUAGCAGUAAGGGGGAAAAUAGAGCGCUCCCCUGAAACCGGCCCUGAAGCGCGCACACACCGCCCGUCACUCUCCCCGAGCUUAACACUAGCCAUUAAAUAAGACAUAAUAAAUGCAAAGGGGAGGCAAGUCGUAACAUGGUAAGUGUACCGGAAGGUGCACUUGGAAAAAU